UACUGUAGGAGGAUAGAACAGAGGUUUACUAGGAGGACAGAACAGAGGUUUACUAGGAGGAUAGAACAGAGGUUUACUACUGUAGGAGGAUAGAACAGAGGUUUACUAGGAGGACAGAACAGAGGUUUACUAGGAGGAUAGAACAGAGGUUUACUACUGUAGGAG